GCAGUGUUUGUGUUCGUGUUGUUUUGUUUACAGACAGAACCCAAUAACCUAAACAGUAAAAAUCUUUUGUUUAUCAUCCACGGGAAAACGAGUAUACUAUUUAGCAUCAUAUCACUUGUUAAUUUGCUUUCUUUGCUUGAAGUUCCUUAGUAUUUUAGUAAUUUAAUUUGCCAAAGUGGAAUCAUCACCUUGGCUUUCUGUCGUUGAACCCAAGAUGAAACCUAUUACAGCUAUCGUUGCAGAUGAAAUGUUUCCGGAAGGUGCUGGGUUUGGAAUGGACUUAGAAGAUGCUGGGGGGCCCACCAGUUUGUUGGUUGAUUUAGCUGCUAAUGAGAAAACUGUCCAUGCAGACUUCUAUAACGAUUUUGAUGACCUGUUUGAUGAUGAAGACCUAAACUGACGAGAGACUCAUAAAAUAACGUGUUUUCUGUAAUGUACAUUUGUAAUUACUAAAUACUAUUUACAAACAAAUAUUUUGCUUAAAC